AUACAGAGGGUGCGAGCGUUAAUCGGAAUUACUGGGCGUAAAGCGCGCGUAGGCGGCUUGGUCAGUCGGAUGUGAAAGCCUCGGGCUCAACCUGGGAAUGGCAUUCGAUACUGCCAGGCUAGAGUAUGGGAGAGGGAAGUGGAAUUUCCGGUGUAGCGGUGAAAUGCGUAGAUAUCGGAAGGAACACCAGUGGCGAAGGCGACUUCCUGGCCCAAUACUGACGCUGAGGUGCGAAAGCGGGGGGAGCAAACAGGAUUAGAAACCCCAGUAGUCC
rnacentral:rRNA from 1 species